UACGUAGGGGGCAAGCGUUGUCCGGAUUUAUUGGGCGUAAAGGGCACGCAGGCGGUCUUGUCAGUUUCGUGUGACAGGUGGGGGCUUAACUCCCGCAGGCCUUGGAAAACUGCAAGACUUGAGGACGAGAGAGGGAUGCGGAAUUCCUGGUGUAGCGGUGAAAUGCGCAGAUAUCAGGAGGAACACCGGUGGCGAAGGCGGAUCUCUGGGCCGAUACUGACGCUGAGGAGCGAAAGCGUGGGGAGCGAACAGG
rnacentral:rRNA from 1 species